rnacentral:lncRNA from 1 species
CAUAAAUAAACCUUACUGAGAUUAUCCACAAGCAACGUUACUUAAUUAAUUGUUAUUGAUUUAUUUUUUAACUUCAUUUAUUUACUUAGAGAGGACGAGUACAAGUGGGGAGGAGCAGAGACAAGGAGAGACAGAAUCCCAAGCAGGCUCCGUGCCAUCAGCGACAGCCUGAUGCGGGACUGAACUCACGAAACAUGAGUUCGCGACCUGAGCCGAGACCGAGAGUCAGAUGCUUAACUGACUGUGCCACCCAGGCGCGCCCACAUUAAUUGUGUCUUCAUCCGAGGUGGCAUCUAUACAGGGAGUCGGAUCCCGAAUGCUGCAGAUAAAGAGAACUUCUAGAUCGUGGACAGACACCUCGUCACACAAAAUGAGCAUCGUGUUUGCAGGUGGUCUAUUCAGUGUAAACAAAACAGAAACCAACAAACGAAGCAGAGAACACAGUUCCAGCCGCCAGCGUAAAUACCAAUGAAGCACAAAUCCAAAGGCAAGGCGAGGGUAGAAAGUGAAUCUCAGGGGCCCGAGGAGAGUACCAGGGGCCAGCGGCCUGAUGAUUGGAAGUCUUGCGAGACCUGCAGGAGAGGAAUGGACAGCACAAGUGACGGAUGUGAGACACAAUCGAGCAUGCCCCCGAGCAGAAAACCAUCACGACUGGUCUUACACGUGUGUGCGUUCUCUGAAU